GGGCCGCUAGCUCAGUUGGCAGAGCACCGGACUUUUAAUCCGGGUGUGCCG
rnacentral:tRNA from 1 species